CCUACGGGGUGCAGCAGUCGAGAAUCAUUCACAAUGGGGGAAACCCUGAUGGUGCGACGCCGCGUGGGGGAAUGAAGGUCUUCGGAUUGUAAACCCCUGUCAUGUGGGAGCAAAUUAAAAAGAUAGUACCACAAGAGGAAGAGACGGCUAACUCUGUGCCAGCAGCCGCGGUAAUACAGAGGUCUCAAGCGUUGUUCGGAAUCACUGGGCGUAAAGCGUGCGAAGGCUGUUUCGUAAGUCGUGUGUGAAAGGCGCGGGCUCAACCCGCGGACGGCACAUGAUACUGCGAGACUAGAGUAAGGGAGGGGGAACCGGAAUUCUCGGUGUAGCAGUGAAAUGCGUAGAUAUCGAGAGGAACACUCGUGGCGAAGGCGGGUUCCUGGACAUUAACUGACGCUGAGGCACGAAGGCCAGGGGAGCGAAAGGGAUUAGAUACCCGUGUAGUC
rnacentral:rRNA from 1 species